GCCCGGAUGGUCUAGUGGUAAGCUUUAUCCAAUCAAACAUUCCACCACCUUCGUCGUCUAACAAAUUCAUAGGUAUGAUUCUCGCUUUGGGUGCGAGAGGUCCCGCGUUCGAAUCGCGGUUCGGGCC
rnacentral:tRNA from 1 species